rnacentral:misc_RNA from 1 species
GUAGGUGAACCUGCGGAAGGAUCAUUAUUGAAUUUUUGAAGGGGGUUGUAGCUGAUCUUUUAGAUAUGUGCACACCUCUUGUCAUCUAUACACCCACAUGUGCACUUUUGUAGGCUUUUCAAGGCCUAUGUUUGCUUCAUACACACACAUUGUAAAAGAAUGUUAAUUGAUAAAAUUUAAUACAACUUUCAACAACGGAUCUCUUGGCUCUCGCAUCGAUGAAGAACGCAGCAUCUGACUGACUCGGGCA